GUGCAAGAUAAAGAAGAACGAUGGUAAGUAAAAACUCAAAGACACGUUUUUAAAUCUGAUUUCUGGUUUUGUGAGUUACGAUAUGUUUUGCCCAAGACUUUGCACCCACCGAAUAUUUUGAGAAAAGCGUGUACAUUAGAAAGAGGUUACUGAAAUAUGCUAGUUAGCGCGUUGCUGAAAGACUAGGCUAACUAGCUAGUAGUAGCUAAAUUAAAGUGGGAUAGUAAAAUACUUGAGUGAAUUAACUAAAGUUAGCAACUAGUUAAUUAUAUAUUUUGUAUCAAUGAAGGUCAACGUACUGUUGCUUUUAAUGUUUACGUAUAAGUUGGUUGGCUACAGUAGUUAGCCAUCCAUGGCCCAUGAUAUCCACGUGUGCGCCGACAUUACAACACGUGGCCCUUAUCGAAGCCGAUUCAGUCCUCUUUUCCGACUGAUUCGGUCAAUAAAGGUGCCUAAAGCAACACUUUUACCGACGGUCGCUGAGUAUUUAUUGUAACUACUCCGCAACAAUUUGGGAAAGAACAUUUGCCUUUGAGGAAACCAUGUUAUGGUAACUUCUGUGGUUUGCAGUAGGCCGUAGCAAAUACGUUAACAAUAUUGUCCUUAUUCUAGGUGGGCUUUCACAGGAAUACGAUGAAUCCUGACCAUCACGGUGUCUGCAUUGACGGUACAAUACAGGUGAGGAAAGCCAUCCACCACAAUUCAACUCUACAUAUGGAUUUAUUUUAAACCUACUCUAAAGCCAGGCACCUAUCGAAGCCGUUAUUGCUGUCUAGUAGCAGACACGGUCAACAGGAUGCCUAUAACAUCACUUUCACCGACGGUCGCUGUGCAGUUCGUCAGUAACUGACACCGCAACAUUAAGGGGAAGGACACUCCAUGUACAACUAACUAUCCAUCUGCAGUUAAGCAAACAGAUCAUCAAUUCAGAUUUUCUUUGUUUUACCAUGCUUCCUAAAGGUCAAAGGGAUGAGCUACUCUAUGAAGAACAAGUGGACCUCUUGAAGGCAAGUUUCUAGUGUUCGAAGUGUUGAAUUUCAGGCUCCUAGCAUGGUCUGUAAUUCUGAAACCAGAUUUUAAUUCUAAAUGCAUUUGACAGGCUUGGAGCAUCUGGGCCGACCCGUGAGAUGCUGUAUGCAAACCAGUGGACUUUCUGGAGGUAAUUAUCCCAUUCUGGCUUCGUUUUCCAUUAAUUGAUGCUAUGAUGACACACUUGCCCUCACUUAGAGUAUUGCCUCUCUGCUGAGAACCUUUUAGUACUCGUCUGAGCCAAGGUUUUGAAUUAGUUGAAGUAACUUCAACUUCAACGGUUUUAUACCUGAUUCUAAUUCUUUCAAUUCUCUACAGGUUUGCAGUUUCUUAACAAACUGGGUUGAAUAUGAGCAAUGGACCUUCUGGAGGUAAUUUAAGCAUCAGUUGGUUUACCUCAUUCUGGCUAUGAUGACACACUUGCCCUCACUGAGAGGAGUGCCUCGAUAAUGAGAACACCAUAGUACUCAAAACCUCUGAGCCAUGCUUAUUUGUGCAUUUCUAGAAAUGUAUUCAAUGUGUUUAAAAAGAUUAAGCCUGUUCUGAAUUGGCCAAACUGUUUUUCUUCUAGUUGUUAUACAUAUUGAAGUGGAUGGUUUCGUAACAAAUCUGCCGGUAAGUCAAGACUUCAACACAUUUUAUUAAUCUUUCUGUAGUAUAUUACCCAUGGCAGCAUGCUAUCCUAAGGACCUGGGCUUUGUAGCCUCUGGUUCUCCAAGUGCAUGCCAGAGAAACGGGCAGUCUUUGACUGUCCUGGCCUUUGUGCUUGAGGCAGUCACUCUACUGUCCUACAAAUAUUGUAACCUAUUAAUUUUGCCUUGACUGAUUUUAAUUUACAUUUUGCUUUUAUUAACUGCACUUGAGUUCCUCAUGUCUGAUUUCAUCUUUCUGCAGAUGACGCGUCAGUGUGGUGUUGCCCCAAUCAAAGUCGUCUGGGAAGUGUUGUCAAGGCCUUGCAACUGGUGACAUGCGUGACAGCAUUGUCAAAUUCCACAUCACAACACGAUGCACGCCGGUACUCGUGUGUAGGUAUGUAGUUGACUAGUUCCUGACUCCUCGACAGGUUGUUCUGAUCAAUGAUUGAUAACAAAACUUGAAAUUGUGACUGUUGGAUGAAACAUGCGGAUAUGGGACUGAGAUCAGGACUCAUGGCAAGUAGUGACAUUUGGAUGAGUCUUCUGGAACUAAAAUCAUACCCCUGUAUUUCUGUUUUGUUAUUAGAUGUGCUAAGAUGGCUGAAGACCAGUCUGGACCAAGGGCUUUCUGGCCUGCCCCUUCAGUUAGAAGAAACCCAACGAGUCUAUUUUAAAUAAACUCUCAAAACCUUGAA
ensembl:lncRNA